rnacentral:rRNA from 1 species
AUACAUGAGCAAAAUCUCAACUUUAUUAGAAGAGACGCAUUUAUUAGAUAAAAAGCCAAUGCAUGCUUUUACAGUAUGAAAAUUGGUGAUUUAUAAUAACUUAGCAAAUCGCAUAGUGAAAACAGGCGAUAAAUCAUUCAAGUUUCUGACCUAUCAGCUUUCGACGGUAUGGUAUUGGCUUACCGUGGCAGUGACGGUUAACGGGGGAUUAGGGUUCGAUUCCGGAGAGGGAGCCUGAGAAACGGCUACCACAUCUAAGGAAGGCAGCAGGCGCGCAAAUUACCCAAUUCUAACAGUUUGAGAGAGGUAGUAACAAGAAAUAACAAUACAAGGCAGUUAAAAUGCUUUGUAAUUGGAAUGAUAGAAAUUUAAACCCUUUUUAAAGUAUCAAUUGGAGGGCAAGUCUGGUGCCAGCAGCCGCGGUAAUUCCAGCUCCAAUAGCGUAUAUUAAAAUUGUUGCAGUUAAAAAGCUCGUAGUUGAAGUUCUGCUAAAAGUAACCGGUCUGCUUUGAAUAAAAGUGGUAUCUUGGUAUGUAUUUAGCAAUGAUGUCCUUUGAAGUGUUUUUUACUUUAUUGUAAUAAAGCAUAUUCAGGACUUUUACU